rnacentral:rRNA from 1 species
CCUACGGGAGGCAGCAGUGAGGAAUAUUGGUCAAUGGACGCAAGUCUGAACCAGCCAUGCCGCGUGCAGGAAGACGGCUCUAUGAGUUGUAAACUGCUUUUGUACGAGGGUAAACGCAAAUACGCGUAUCUGUCUGAAAGUAUCGUACGAAUAAGGAUCGGCUAACUCCGUGCCAGCAGCCGCGGUAAUACGGAGGAUUCAAGCGUUAUCCGGAUUUAUUGGGUUUAAAGGGUGCGUAGGCGGUCGGAUAAGUUAGAGGUGAAAUUCCGAGGCUCAACUGUGGAAUUGCAGCUGAUACUGUUCGGCUAGAGAGUAGUAGCGGUAGGCGGAAUGUAUGGUGUAGCGGUGAAAUGCUUAGAGAUCAUACAGAACACCGAUUGCGAAGGCAGCUUACCGAGCUACAUCUGACGUUGAGGCACGAAAGCGUGGGGAGCAAACAGGAUUAGAUACCCCAGUAGUC